AUGGACUGGAAACAGACAGAGCAUUUACUAAAUGCAUACUCUGUGCCAACCACUGUGUCGUGUGCUGAGAAUACAAAAAAAGAAAUAAAACAAGGCAGUCCAUACUUUCAAGAAUUUUACAUUCUAAUAGGGGAAGAGAAGACACAAAGAAGAGGACCAAUGACGUCACCGUGCUAAGAAUGGGGACAAAAAAAGACCAUGAAAAGGACAUCUGACAUCCCUUCUGACCCCAAAUCUGUGAUCCUAUAACUGUGUCACUUUUGUGUUUAUAUCCUCAGUGCCCAGUGUAAUGCCUGGCAUGGAAUGAAUGCAGAAUAAAUGCUUAUUGAUUGGUUAACUGUUUCCA
rnacentral:lncRNA from 1 species